AUUGAACGCUGGCGGCAUGCCUUACACAUGCAAGUCGAACGGCAGCACGGGAGCAAUCCUGGUGGCGAGUGGCGAACGGGUGAGUAAUAUAUCGGAACGUGCCCAGUCGUGGGGAUAACGUAGCGAAAGCUACGCUAAUACCGCAUACGAUCUAUGGAUGAAAGCGGGGGAUCGCAAGACCUCGCGCGAUUGGAGCGGCCGAUAUCAGAUUAGGUAGUUGGUGAGGUAAAGGCUCACCAAGCCGACGAUCUGUAGCUGGUCUGAGAGGACGACCAGCCACACUGGGACUGAGACACGGCCCAGACUCCUACGGGAGGCAGCAGUGGGGAAUUUUGGACAAUGGGCGCAAGCCUGAUCCAGCAAUGCCGCGUGCAGGAUGAAGGCCU
rnacentral:rRNA from 1 species